GAUGAACGCUGGCGGCGUGCCUAAUACAUGCAAGUCGAACGCUGAAGGAGGAGCUUGCUCUUCUGGAUGAGUUGCGAACGGGUGAGUAACGCGUAGGUAACCUGCCUGGUAGCGGGGGAUAUCUAUUGGAAACGAUAGCUAAUACCGCAUGACAACAGUUAUUGCAUGAUAACUGUUUAAAAGGGGCAACUGCUCCACUACCAGAUGGACCUGCGUUGUAUUAGCUAGUUGGUGAGGUAACGGCUCACCAAGGCGACGAUACAUAGCCGACCUGAGAGGGGGAUCGGCCACACUGGGACUGAGACACGGCCCAGACUCCUACGGGAGGCAGCAGUAGGGAAUCUUCGGCAAUGGACGGAAGUCUGACCGAGCAACGCCGCGUGAGUGAAGAAGGUUUUCGGAUCGUAAAGCUCUGUUGUAAGAGAAGAACGAGUGUGAGAGUGGAAAGUUCACACUGUGACGGUAUCUUACCAGAAAGGGACGGCUAACUACGUG
rnacentral:rRNA from 1 species